CUCCUGGCACAAGUAGCUAAUUUUGUUUUCCAAUUUACAUCAAGAAGAUUAAAGUCACCCAUGAUGAUAACUUCCCCCUUCAUUGUCAUUUUAGCUAUUUCCUCAACUAGUAGAUUAUCUAACUCUUCAAUUUGUCCUGGGGGCCUAUAAAUCACACCUCCACGAGUUACUGUGUGAUUACCAAAUUCUAAAGUAACCCAAACGGACUCCAUGUUUGCCUCACUAACUUUUAUUAGGCUAGAUUUUAUGCUAUCCUU